GAUGAACGCUGGCGGCGUGCCUAAUACAUGCAAGUCGAGCGGACGGACGCUGAGCUUGCUUCUCUGAUGUUAGGCGCGGACGGGUGAGUAACACGUGUAUAACCUCCCUAUAAUACUGGGAUAACUUCGGAAAACCGGCUCUUAUACCGUAUAAUAUUUUGCACCGCAUUGUUCAAAGGUGAAAUACGGUCUUUCUGUCUCGUAUAGAUGGUUCCGGGCUGCAUGAGCUAGUUGGUAAGGUAACGGUCUACCAAGGCAACGAUGCAUAGCCGACCUGAGAGAGUGAUAGGCCACAUUGGAACUGGAACACGGUCAAGACUCCUACGGGAGGCAGCAGUAGCGAACGUUCCGCAGUGGGCGAAAGUAUGACGGAGUAACGCCGCGCGAGAGAUGGAGACGUUGCGAUCGGAAAACUCUGUUAUUAGUGAAAAACCGAUGUGUAAGUAAAUGAGCAGAGAGUGACGGUACCUAAUAAGAAAGCAACGGCUAACUACGUG
rnacentral:rRNA from 1 species